CUUCACAGCAUAGCUAACGGCUAGGCUGCUAUCAUCCCCUAUUCCUGCUCGUCCUGAGAAAACUCUAUAAACAACACAGUGUGGAUUAUUGGUGACUUGUCCGUCGAGGUGCCCAGAGAGCUGCAGAGACAGAGGAAGAAACCUGAGUCUCAACAAAAUCUGCAUUUGUUGGUUCUUCUGGGGUGGACUUUGGUUGCUUCUCUUCAACAGCUCGCUGCGAGGGAGGUCUCCCCCGGAUGGCCUGAGUGAUGUCACCCACAGGCUGAGAGCUGAGGCUGAGGCGUGUUUUAAACCUCUUGACAAAACGUUACACCGCACCCGCCUGUCAAGCUGGUCAGCUACACGCCUUAUUGUGAAUAACUCUAAUCCUUCAUUAAAUCAAACGACCCACGUACAGUGUGUGUUGAUCGAGACAUGAGCUAAUCAGACCUAUUUGUUUGUUUUGUACCAAGCUGUAAACAUGUUAAUCUCUGCUGUAAAAACAGACUUUUUGAAUGUGGUUUUUCAGAUUAAAUAAAUAUUUCUAUAUAAAUGCAA